rnacentral:rRNA from 1 species
GCCCAAGAGAUCGGGAUAACACCUGGAAACAGAUGCUAAUACCGGAUAACAACAGAUGAUGCCUAUCAACUGUUUAAAAGAUGGUUCUGCUAUCACUNUUGGAUGGACCUGCGGUGCAUUAGCUAGUUGGUAGGGUAACGGCCUACCAAGGCGAUGAUGCAUAGCCGAGUUGAGAGACUGAUCGGCCACAUUGGGACUGAGACACGGCCCAAACUCCUACGGGAGGCAGCAGCG